CCCUGCAUCGGCAGGCGGACUCUCAACCACUGCGCCACCAGGGAAGCCCAAGGAUUAUGGAAGUGGGAUAUGUACAUUUGAGAAGCACUUUUAUCCAUACAUGUGGGUGAAAAUCUAAUUUUGUAUAAAUCAAAAUUAGGUUCCUUGAAGGUGAAAAGCAGUCAUUUGUUCCGGAUCAUAACCACAUUGCCUGUAUCUAGUGUGGGAUAAGUUGUAACUUCUCACUGAGUCUAAGGUUUCAAGGACGUGUGAAGCCAAAGUGAACCAUAAAAACACUGCGGAACCACCUCCAUGUUCCACUGAACAGUGUUAAUCUCUCAAAUGUGUAUGUUAGUGCCUAAUUGCACAGAAUCUGUAACUUGCUAGAUCUUUAGGGAUGGAGUCAAUACUUAACUUGCUUUUCACAUUAAAGAAUUCAACUUUUCAGAUAAAAUAUACUUUAAAAUUUCAAAAAUCAUUCCUGGGGGAACUUUUAGCAUUCCUUGUCAUGAUGUACUUGUGUGCAGUAAGUGCAGCAUUUGCAGCUGCUUAACUCUGUUCCUCUUAUUUUUUCAAUUUCCAAAUUGAGAUUAUAAAAAGCAAGUGAUUUGUGUAAUUUGAUGUUUGUGGAGUUGUGCCUACUAUUAAUGGAAAUAUGCACGUCAGUUACUCAGAGGUUGUUGAUGUGAAACUGGUUAGAAAUUCCAGGUGUGUCGGUGUGUUUCUUACAGGUGCACUGGACACUAGUGAAUUUGUCACAGCUCUCUUCACUUUUAUGGUGUAUAAAGUACAGCUAGCUUAUAAAACUUGAAAAUAUGGCACUAGUCUAUUCAUGCCUGAAAUCUUGGAGUCCAGGAUGCCUUGUCUCUUACUUUUCAAAUAAGUGAAACUUUGGGAGUUUAGAAUGUAAAAUUUGUGAAGUUUGUUUUGUCAAAAUAAAACGUUCACACUAGAUUUUUCCUCUGAA